rnacentral:lncRNA from 1 species
GUGGGAGGAUAGGAAGUUAGCAACAAGCAUAGGUUCACAGAAUCCAAAGGAACGUCGGCCCGUCAGGAGUCUCUCUCGAUCUAUUACACUGUUGAUACCUCUGGUGUCUCGGUAGCUGCCUUUUUUUUUCCUUUUGUUUUUUGGUUUUUGUUUCUUUUAACUUUUGAAGGGAGAAAGUGAGGGAACACGGCAACUGAAUAUGGGUCAUGUGCCAGUUUUCUGUAAUGGAAUUGGAUUUUGGAAAAAGGCGUGGGAUUUUUCUUGCCCUCGUGAGAGGGGAGCUGGGAGACACCGAGUUCCGUCCAAUCAGUCAUAUAGAUAAAAAAUAGUGUGAUAUGAAAUUUGGCUUGUAGACCGACUUAGUUAGUAAGUCAUGGGUCAUCUGUUCUGACUGGAGCUCAAUUGCAAGUUUUUCGAGUCAUGGGUCACCCAGCACCCCAUAAUUAUGAUAUGACCAAAUUAGAUUUGCCU